rnacentral:rRNA from 1 species
UAACACAUGCAAGUCGAACGAUGAAGCCCAGCUUGCUGGGUGGAUUAGUGGCGAACGGGUGAGUAACACGUGAGUAACCUGCCCUUGACUCUGGGAUAAGCACUGGAAACGGUGUCUAAUACCGGAUAUUUCAGCUGGCCGCAUGGUCUGGUUGUGGAAAGAAUUUUGGUCAAGGAUGGACUCGCGGCCUAUCAGGUUGUUGGUGAGGUAAUGGCUCACCAAGCCUACGACGGGUAGCCGGCCUGAGAGGGUGACCGGCCACACUGGGACUGAGACACGGCCCAGACUCCUACGGGAGGCAGCAGUGGGGAAUAUUGCACAAUGGGCGAAAGCCUGAUGCAGCAACGCCGCGUGAGGGACGACGGCCUUCGGGUUGUAAACCUCUUUUAGUAGGGAAGAAGCGAAAGUGACGGUACCUGCAGAAAAAGCACCGGCUAACUACGUGCCAGCAGCCGCGGUAAUACGUAGGGUGCAAGCGUUGUCCGGAAUUAUUGGGCGUAAAGAGCUCGUAGGCGGUUUGUCGCGUCUGCUGUGAAAACUGGAGGCUCAACCUCCAGCCUGCAGUGGGUACGGGCAGACUAGAGUGCGGUAGGGGAGAUUGGAAUUCCUGGUGUAGCGGUGGAAUGCGCAGAUAUCAGGAGGAACACCGAUGGCGAAGGCAGAUCUCUGGGCCGUAACUGACGCUGAGGAGCGAAAGCAUGGGGAGCGAACAGGAUUAGAUACCCUGGUAGUCCAUGCCGUAAACGUUGGGAACUAGAUGUGGGGGCCAUUCCACGGUCUCCGUGUCGCAGCUAACGCAUUAAGUUCCCCGCCUGGGGGAGUACGGGCCGCAAGGCUAAAACUC